AUUAGUGGACAAGGGCAUCAACCCUGUUCCAGCAAUGCCGCGCCUGGAAGAAGGCCACCGGGUGGGAGAGCACAUUCAUUAGGGUAGAAAAGUAUGUAUUUAAUAGAGAUGUAUUGGGUCGUUACCUAAAGAAGAAGCACCGGUUAAUUCCGUGCCAGCAGCCGCGGUAAUACGGAGGGUGCAAGCUUUAAUCGGAUUUACUGGGCGUAAAGGGUGCGUAGGUGGUAUUUUAAGUUAUUUGUGAAAGACCCGGGCUUAACCCGGGGGUGUCAGGUAAAACUGGAAGACUAGAGUGCAGUAGAGGGUAGCGGAAUUUCCGGUGUAGCGGUGAAAUGCGUAGAGAUCAGAAGGAACACCCGUGGCGAAGGCGGCUACCUGGACUGAGACUGACACUGAGGCACGAAAGCGUGGGUAGCGAUCAGGAUUAGAUACCCUGGUAGUCCACGCCGUA
rnacentral:rRNA from 1 species